CAGCCAGGAGAUACCGGAGACUGGCCCAUUGUGCACCGAACUGGCAUAACCAGACCCUGUCCCAUGUGGCGCUGUACAGAUGUGAGGAACAGAAAAAGCAGGACUGCGCUGCCAUGGAUCUACCAGGUGACCAGUAAAAAUUACUGUUGAAGGGCUGGGCUUCUGAGAGAACAUCAGGUCUGGGUCUCCUUGGUCAUCCGCACGCAGAAGGGCGAAGAAGCCAGGCAGGAGAGUGCUGGCCAGACAGGGCAUCACCGUGCCAGCUCUCACAGCAACCCAGCCGGCAGGGACAGCCUCCUGCGUGAGCUUGCGCACAGUAUUUAUGUUCUUUUUUCUCCUGCCUUUUGCCUUUAUAUUGCCUCAGAGAUGAUGUGAAGAUAAACAUGUAGCAGAUUGUAAAAUGACUCUUUGAUCACGAGCAGAAUAAAAGGCAGAAACGUCUCUCA